GAUGAACGAUAGCUACAGGCUUAACACAUGCAGGUCGUGGGAACGGCGCACGGGUGAGUAAAACGUAUCCAACCUACCCUAUACUCGGGGAUAGCCUUUCGAAAGAAAGAUUAAUACCCGAUAUAAAGGCGGGGGAUGCGUGCCAUUCGGUUGUUGGUGAGGUAACGUCUCACCAAGCCUUAGAUGGAUAGGGGUUCUGAGAGGAAGGGCCCCCACAUUAGAACUGAGACACGGUCCAAACUCCUACAGGAGGCAGCAGUGAGGAAGAUGUGUCAAUGGGCUUGAGCCUGAACCAGCCAAGUAGCGUGAAGGAUGAAGGCUUAUGGGUCGGAAACUUCUUUUAUAUAAGAAUAUGUAUUAGAUGAAUAAUGAGCGGCUAACUCCGUGUCAGCAGCCGCGGUAAUUC
rnacentral:rRNA from 1 species